UGUGCGAUAUGAUAACUGCAGCAAGCAAGUUCCUCUCCUGUUUGUUCUCAUAAGUGGUUGAAAGGCCAAACACUAUAAAAAGCACUCAAAAGAAUUGUCCUAGACUGCAAAUCUGCCCUAUGGAGUGCUGUCCCAGCUGUUUUUCCAGAGGAAGUUAAGCUGCUUGGCUGUGCCUUCCACUGGAGUCAGGCAGUUUGGAGAAAGACUACGGCUCCAGGCCACUCCACCGCCCUUGCAAGCGCUCAUGGCUUACACUGAGGACACAUGGAUCAACAGCACCAUGUGG